GCCUCGAUAGCGCAGUAGGCAGCGCGUCAGUCUCAUAAUCAAUAUGUCGGGCAAUCUGAAGGUCGUGAGUUCGAUCCUCACUCGGGGCA
rfam:Lingula anatina scaffold884, whole genome shotgun sequence.